AUUCAACUGCCUAAUGCUCCAGCCACUGGGAGGCCUCCAGUGGCAGACUCUGAACCCCUGAUGUCCACCACCUCCCUCUCCUCUCCUCUCAUCCACCCCUGCAACUCCUCCAUCCCAUGAUGUAGCAGAGUUCCAGUCACUCAGGAAAAAGGAGACCAAGAGCCCCACGUAGACAGAGGGCCUAGUUCUUGUGUGCCAAGGUGUGCCUACAGACUGUCACUUCGAUUCGGGGUUCCUCAGCCCAGCACUGCUGACACUGUGGAGCUGCCUAAGGAAGAGACCACUUAAACAUGUGCAGCAUUUUUUAAAAGCAAAAUUUCUAAAAGAUCGGGGCCUACCGUAAUUCUUCAUAUUACAUUUGUUGAACAAGUUCCAUCCCAGUCGAGAAUGAGGAGCAAAAAAUUCACAGGAGCCGGGAAAGAAAGCGUGAGGAUGGGCGUGGAGUAAUACGCCAGCUCUUCCUGGACAAGCCACCGUCUGAGGAAGAGAUGGCAAAGAGGAAGAGAGACUGUUCCUUCACCCCCACCUUUCUCCUGGCUUUCCAGCUCCUCCCAAAUGUCCGAGGUGAUGAUGAAGCCGGUGAGGCAUCCUGGAAGGAGGAGAAAUGGAUUAUCUUGCCCCAUGCUUGGGGUGUAUGCACUCAACUUUGGAGAUGACUCUAAGUGGUGAAAUGCUGGGAGGUCAUAGCAUGUUGCUCCAGUAGCAAAGGCAGCGAUGGAAC
ensembl:lncRNA